rnacentral:rRNA from 1 species
GAUGAACGCUAGCUACAGGCUUAACACAUGCAAGUUGAGGGGCAGCAUGGUCUUAGCUUGCUAAGGCCGAUGGCGACCGGCGCACGGGUGAGUAACACGUAUCCAACCUGCCGUCUACUCUUGGACAGCCUUCUGAAAGGAAGAUUAAUACAAGAUGGCAUCAUGAGUCCGCAUGUUCACAUGAUUAAAGGUAUUCCGGUAGACGAUGGGGAUGCGUUCCAUUAGAUAGUAGGCGGGGUAACGGCCCACCUAGUCUUCGAUGGAUAGGGGUUCUGAGAGGAACGGUCCCCACAUUGGAACUGAGACACGGUCCAAACUCCUACGGGAGGCAGCAGUGAGGAAUAUGGUCAAUGGUCGGCAGACUGAACCAGCCAAGUCGCGUGAGGGAAGACGGCCCUACGGGUUGUAAACCUCUUUGUCGGAGAGUAAAGUACGCGUACGUGUAGUGUAUUGCAAGUA